UAUGACACCAGUGUGUAAUCCUUCUCAGGUACCAUUGGCCUUUUAACAAUACUUUGAGGCAACUAGAAAACUCAGUGGAUAGAAUGUUGGAGUUGGAGUCAAAUAGAAUCCUAAAUUAGACAUUUUGUAGCUGUCUGACACUGGAGAAAGAGGAAGUAAGGAAAUACAACAUUCCAAAGGCCUCUGUGUGUUCUAGCCUCACUCUCACCGCCAACAACUUACUAGCAGAAAAAAAGCUAAUUGUAAGCAGGAAGCUUAAGUGACUGAAUGAAGUGAACUGGAUGAAGAGCUCCAAACUCAGUGUUUCCAGAAUCACCGAAUCUUCAAAGAACCAGAGAAUGUCAAAGCUGGACAAGAAGUCAGUAGUAUAGCCAUCUGGUCCAACCCAUACCUGA